UAGGGCUGCAUUCUAGUAGAGGGAAUAGUAGGCCGUCAUUGUAAAUAGUAAUUUGUUCUUAACUGACUUGCCUAGUUAAAUAAAGGUUCCGUUUUUUUUUUUUUUUACAUCUUGAUAUAGCAGUGUAUGGAUGUGUUUGUUUAGUCAUUUCACCAGUAGGUGUCAGUGUUGUAUUAUUUGCUGGAGAGGAUAGAAACGGUCCCGAAAUGUUUAAUCUUGAAACAAUGAGGAGAGAAAAUGGCAGCCUCCUGACAAAAUAGACACCCAAGAGGAAAAAGAUGGCGGAAGUGGAUGCUGAGUUCGAAUCAAGUCAAUAUGCCAUAGAAGAAGAAGAGGAAGAUCCGGAGUUGAUGAUGGAAUCGCUGAUGACAGUUCAGAUAAAGAGCCACCUCUUAAGACCAGGAAACCAACAAUGGAUGAGCUCCUGAAAGACUGAAGAAACUUCUGGAUAGGAUCCUUCAUCUCAAUUUCUGCCUAAAAUGUCAUACCUAAAUCUAACUGCCUGUAGCUCAGGACCUGAAGCAAGGAUAUGCAUUUUCCUGAUACUAUUUGAAAGGAAACACUUUGAUGUUUGUGAAGAUGUGAAAUGAAUGUAGGAGAAUAUAACACAUCAGAUCUGGUAAAAGAUAAAACCAACAGGAAAAACAUGCGUUUUCUAUUUGUAUUUUUGUUGCAUCAUCUUUGAAAUGCAACAGAAAAACCAUACAUUGAAACAGGAAGGUGCAGAUAAUUUAGAUGUUGUCCACAACAGGGCAAUUGUGUGUGUGCAUAGUUUCAGACGGAUACAUUUAAGAAUGAGAGAGCUACAUAAUAUUUGGUAUGAAGUCUACCAGGUGUCCCUCACGAGUUUGCCCAAAUGUACCCAAGUGGCCUUCAAGUGGCCGAAUUGGUCAAUUGCAACAUUUUCAAGUACAUAGCUAGAGAGAACAUACAAACAUGCUAUGGUAAUAAACAAUUUAAGUUUACACACAAAGAUGAAGGGGGCUUUAAUUUCAAGUCAUGUCCAGCUGAGGUCCUGACUGCCUUUUAGGUCUAAAUGUUGGUGGAAGUGGCUCCACAUCCUCAAGCACAGUGUGCCAACGGUCCUCUCCCUCAGUGGUAGAUGUCGCUGGUGCACUGGCCCUCCUCCACUUCUGGGCUGGCCUCUUCACACCUCGAUGGCUGGGCGGGGGUGGGUGUGGAGUCAGAGACAGCAGCUGCGGUCAGACUGGAGGAACCAGUUCCUACCUUUGAAUGAGUAAGGGGAUGGAGGACUUGAAUGUGGUCUCUUUGUUGUUGGCUCCCAGAGGUCAUCUGAGUCAAAGUCUCUACCACUAUUGGGGAUUUUUUUUAAAUCAGUUAGAAGUUAAGUUUACUAUUACUUAUUUUAUUUAACAUUUAUUUUCGCAAGGGGGUGAGCCCUGCAUCAAUACUUUUACUGAUGCAUGAAAUACUGUACAUAAAAACACAGCACAUGUCACGAAUAUUACCGAAGGUGACUCCCCUUCUUGUUCGGGUGGCGCUCGGCGGUCGUCGUCACCGGUCUACUAGCUAUCGCCGAUCCGUUGUUCUGUGUUCCUUUGGUUUUGUCUGAUUGGUAUCACCUGUUUCUUGUUUGGUUGUUAGGGUAGGGUUAUAUAUAGUUUGUUCAGCCCGCUUCUGUUUCGUGCGUGCUUGUUAGUCUGUUUUGUUGUUUGAGUGUAUUUUGUUUGUAUUUGGGUUUCACGCUGUCCGUUUAUAUUUCUGAUCAUUUGUUUUUCUUCUUUUGGUUCAUGUUAUGUUUCCGGGACAUUAAAGCGUGUUUUUUCCCACAUCUUUUGCUCUCUG
ensembl:lncRNA